GACAGAGGAUGCAAGCGUUAUCCGGAAUGAUUGGGCGUAAAGCGUCUGUAGGUGGCUUUUUAAGUCCGCCGUCAAAUCCCAGGGCUCAACCCUGGACAGGCGGUGGAAACUACCAAGCUGGAGUACGGUAGGGGCAGAGGGAAUUUCCGGUGGAGCGGUGAAAUGCGUAGAGAUCGGAAAGAACACCAGUGGCGAAGGCGGCUUCCUGGUCUGCGACUGACGCUGUGGCGCGAAAGCUAGGGUAGCAAACGGG
rnacentral:rRNA from 1 species